rnacentral:rRNA from 1 species
GUUCCAGACUCCUACGGGAGGCAGCAGUGAGGAAUAUUGGUCAAUGGCCGGGAGGCUGAACCAGCCAAGUCGCGUGAGGGAAGACGGCCCUACGGGUUGUAAACCUCUUUUGUCAGGGAGCAAGGUGCAGGUCGGGACCUGCUGUGAGAGUACCUGAAGAAAAAGCAUCGGCUAACUCCGUGCCAGCAGCCGCGGUAAUACGGAGGAUGCGAGCGUUAUCCGGAUUUAUUGGGUCUAAAGGGUGCGUAGGCGGUCGGAUAAGUUAGAGGUGAAAUCCCGAGGCUCAACUUCGGAAUUGCCUCUGAUACUGUUCGGCUAGAGAGUAGUUGCGGUAGGCGGAAUGUAUGGUGUAGCGGUGAAAUGCUUAGAGAUCAUACAGAACACCGAUUGCGAAGGCAGCUUACCAAGCUACUUCUGACGUUGAGGCACGAAAGCGUGGGGAGCAAACAGGAUUAGAUACCCUCGUAA